rnacentral:rRNA from 1 species
GGAAUAUUGCACAAUGGGCGCAAGCCUGAUCCAGCCAUGCCGCCUGUGUGAAGAAGGCCUUCGGGCUGUAAAGCACUUUCAGCGGGGAGGAAGGCGGUGAGGUCAAUAACCUCAUCGAUUGACGUUACCCGCAGCAGAAGCACCGGCUAACUCCGUGCCAGCAGCCGCGGUAAUACGGAGGGUGCAAGCGUUAAUCGGAAUUACCGGGCGUAAAGCGCACGCAGGCGGUCUUUCAAGUCGGAUGUGAAAUCCCCGGGCUCAACCUGGGAACUGCAUUCGAAACUGGCAGGCUAGAGUCUUGUAGAGGGGGGUAGAAUUCCAGGUGUAGCGGUGAAAUGCGUAGAGAUCUGGAGGAAUACCGGUGGCGAAGGCGGCCCCCUGGACAAAGACUGACGCUCAGGUGCGAAAGCGUGGGGAGCAA